rnacentral:rRNA from 1 species
UACGGGGGGGGCAAGCGUUGUUCGGAAUUACUGGGCGUAAAGGGCUCGUAGGCGGCCAACUAAGUCAGACGUGAAAUCCCUCGGCUUAACCGGGGAACUGCGUCUGAUACUGGAUGGCUUGAAUCCGGGAGAGGGAUGCGGAAUUCCAGGUGUAGCGGUGAAAUGCGUAGAUAUCUGGAGGAACACCGGUGGCGAAGGCGGCAUCCUGGACCGGCAUUGACGCUGAGGAGCGAAAGCCAGGGGGAGCAAACGGGG